ACAAUACUACGCUUUGGGACAAGGGAUGGAAGGGUGCCUUGUCCAUUUUGCCUUUUGUCACUGCUUUGUUUUUUCUCUCUGCAGCUUUCUAUAGCAUUCUCCACCUGACUAUUUGGGGCAUGACCAGAGAGAUGUCAUGCACUCUUUUACUCCAUUGAAAGUUAGUGCAAAUAGUGCAGGAAACAGUCUUAAUAUGAGAUGAGGGAUGGACAUGGACCUCAUACAGCUUGUGUUGGGUCUGAAGUCAUCUAUCCAUGCUGUGCUUGGGAAGAGCUGGAGGAAUUUGGACCAGAGGGUGUUCUGUCCUGUUCCUUUCCAUUCAGUACACCCUAGAGGAAUGGGAUAUAAAAUCUACUCUGUCUGGAGAGUCACACUGGAUGCCUGAACACCUCUGUAGCUGGCCAGGAAUAUCAUACAUGUCCAUAUAUUUAUGCUACAGAAUGUGGCAAUCCAUCAGCAAUAGAAGUAAAAAUAAAAAGAAGAAAAAAAAAUCAAACAGAAAACCUGUUCCAUUAUAUUAAAUAUAAAUAAAUACAUCAGUUUCCCUAGACUUGCCUGAGAGUGCAACGCCAUUUCUCCCCCAGCAGGUGCUCUUAGUGGGAAAAUGGCAUGGUGAAGACCUUCC
rnacentral:lncRNA from 1 species